rnacentral:rRNA from 1 species
AAUUAACUUGUGUGAGUUGUUGCUGGCCACUUUGGUGGCAUGUGCACACUUGCUCAUUGUUUUGUUCAUCCCUUCCACCUGUGCACUCAUUGUAGACCACACCACUGCUUAUCAGACUUGUGCUCUCUGCACUCUUCUGGCAUGAGAACCUGCUCUUGGGCUGUUCUUGAGUGGCUGUUGGCCUAUGUCCUUAUCAACACCAUUGUAUGUGAUUGAAUGUAUGAACUGGGUUUCAUAGACCCAUAAACUUAAUACAACUUUCAACAACGGAUCUCUUGGCUCUCGCAUCGAUGAAGAACGCAGCGAAAUGCGAUAAGUAAUGUGAAUUGCAGAAUUCAGUGAAUCAUCGAAUCUUUGAACGCACCUUGCGCUCCUUGGUAUUCCGAGGAGCAUGCCUGUUUGAGUGUCAUUAAAUCCUCAACUCAUCUCCCUUGUGGAUGAAUGAAGUUGGAUGUGGGAGCUGCUGGCUCACUGUCAGCUCUUCUGAAAUACAUUAGCAGGGCCAUCCUAUGCAAGGCUGCAGCUUGGUAUUGAUAGUUGUCUUACCAGGUUGUGGUUGAGUGAAGUGCUCAGCUUCUAGUCGUCUCGCUGCUGAGACAAUCAUCAUGACGAUUUGACCUCAAAUCAGGUAGGACUACCCGCUG